GUCCCACUUGCUAGAUGUCACACCCGGGUUUCGGGGCACCAAGACACGCGCGCGAACAUAAUCACCAGGUGUGCUAGGACCAAGUCUCACACAUAUGAUGAAUCAUGCCACAGGAUUGAAUGUCUCAUCUUUACUCUAUUAUAGGAGUUCUAUACAAAAUAAAUAAAUAAAUACAUUAUAAGGAGACAACGGUCUAGCAUCCCAAAGUUGACUGGGAGACGACGACCUAGACCUCUCACGAACUCGUCACAGCAUCCUCCAAGCGCCUCAUCCUGUUGUACCUGUUCUUGACCUGUGGGGGGUGUGAGACAGCAAGAGUGAGCUCACAUAUGUUCAUAGCUCAACAAGUUGUGGGGAAUAAUGUGUAUGAACUUGCCAAAGGUGGGAGCUCAUGUGAAGUGUAAGGCUUACCAAAGAGGAUGGUUAGAGCUGAGCAUUGCUUUUAAAGUUGGUCAAAAUUUUAUUAGCAGUUACUAAGUAUAAGUAAAUACCAACCCAAUUAAGUAGUAGAACAAAAGUAAUAACAACACAUUCAAUGCAAUGCAUAUGACAAAUUGAAUUUAGUUCCAUAAAUUAAUCAUGUGAGUGUCUGAGCUGCUCAUGACUGUGAGCACGGCUAGUAUACCAGUUUUACACUCUACAGACGUUGCACAUCUUUACCCACAAGUCAUGUUACCCAUCUGCCAAGCGACGGCCAAUCCCAUACACCUCUACCGAGGAGGCGAGGCAGGGUAACGCUACGAGGCCUUUACAAAGUUCCACUAGCUUCAGAAAACCCGCUAUAGUUUCUAGGAAGCUCCAAUGCAGGUAUCCCUCGCCUGACCGCCAUCGCAGCAAAAUCAACCCAAGGACCUCCCUACACUGACCACUCCCCUACUGCCCUUGCUUCUUUUGGGUAAGGUAGUCCUCCACUAGCUUUUCUAAUUAGUCAACCAAGGGCGUCCCAUACCAUCCUUGUGGUAGCACUAUUUUCCCGGGUGGUUCUCCAUGUUCCAAUUAACAUAAUGAUCUUAACAUGAACAGUAAAUAACAACUGAUAAUAAGAUUAUGAUCAUGAAUAAAGUGUAUCUCUAUACCCAAAACCAUAUAAAACAAUAGCAGGUACUACACAAAAAUUCAGUCGUAAACAAGGUGUAAAGAUAGUCAAACUAGGGUAACCUAUUGGGUCCCAAAAAAAUUAACCUAUGCAGAUCAUUAUGGUAAAUCAGAACAUGACUUGGUAAAAAGAAGUGAUCAAGGGCACAACUUGCCCGGGACUUGAGAUUCCAGGUACCAACUUGCUCUUCAGAUGACACGUGUCCUCACUGCUAAACGUAACAUUACAGACAAACAUGGUAUAGGCAAAAUUAACAUUACACCAAACAUAAGUACAAACUACAUAAUAGUAAUCUAUGCGUCACUACGAGAUCGUGGGACUAAGAACUACUAAAUUCGGAGCUACAGUUAAGUAGUUAUGAUUUAUGGAAGAUCUAUGAGUAAGUAAAACUAGACCUCAGAUUGAUUCUAUAAAUCAUGUGAGAUAUACCUUAAGGAUUGACUUUAAUAUGGGUCCUAUCUUAGUUAAAGUUCAUCACAUUAUAUUUAUGAACAUAUUACUUUAAUUAGAUAGAUUAAUCUACCAGACAUAGGUUAAAUGAUUUUCCAAUUAUAAAAGUAUGGGAUAAGGCAUAAAUUAGUGUUGUAUUACAUAGACAAAAUUAUUAUGGACCUAGUGCAAUUUAAAAGGACCAAAUCGGAGUUAAAAUAAGGGAGUUAUGAAUUUUACAAGUUUCUGGACAUAUAAAUAUUAUUUUUUUAUUCCUAAAAUAAUUUCCAGGGUUUUAUCCAUUUAUUAUGAAUUAAAAUGGACUGCGGGUAUAAUUAGUAAAGAAGACAUGGUCUAAAGUGAAAGAUUAUAGGACCCGCUGGUAGGACUCUUUCCACAUCGAUGGACUGCGAGUUGUUUAUAGUUAAAUAGGAGGUCUCUUUUGCAAAACGUGCUAGCUGAAGGGGUAAGGAGUGUUUAGGGCCAUCCGAUUACGAUCCAGUGGUCCGGAUUCAAUCCCCCCAUAAUCGAACCGUACGCAUCCACGGCCGCACGCUCCGCGAUCAACGGCCCAGCAGUAGCCACACCAUGAUCACACCAGAACAGCCCGUAUCCGUUGGUUUGGUUAUCAACGGUUCAGAUCAAUCCGCACGAAGAGGUAUCCUCAGCUUCUAAUCUGGCGCGCUAGCAUAAGAUCCAAUGGCGGCUGAUCAAACACCUUCUUCACCUCCCCAGACGGAAAACACGGCGGUAUGGAUAGCCCCCAUGGCGGAGCCAUGGCCGGCUAUGGCCGUCCCGCGCAACGGUGCUCCAAGCUCAAAACCGAAUGCCGCAAAAUCACAUGGAGGACAAAGCAAAGGUGCCAGGGGACUUUUUACCUGGAUAUAGGACGCUCACAUAUCCCACCCACGGUACAGGUGGCUCCGCGGCGGCGCCCCCAGGUUCAUCGAUGAAUU
rnacentral:lncRNA from 1 species